CUCCCAAGGCAGGCUCCCAGACCAUGAAGCCAGAGAAGGCACCUCUGCUGCAAAUGUUUGUACUCUCCCCCUAUCAUCUCAGUCCAGAGGCUAAUGCAGAUUAGAAGGC